UAUUCUUUUACUCUCUCACUUUGCAUUUGUCUUUUGGUAACCUUUUUGAGUUCACAAAUUUUGCCAACAUAUUUUUGGUAUCAGAACCAAAAAAAGCAUCUUGGGCAUAGAGAGUUAAAAAAGUGUGGUUCACCGUCCAUAAAAUAGCAGUAAAUGGUACAGCUACUUCAUCUCAACCUUUAAUUCCCAUAUUCAAAGGUGAUAGUUAUGAGUUUUAGAGCAUCAAGAUGAGAAUGCUAUUCAUGUCUCAAGAGCUAUGGGACCUGGUGGAGAAUGGGUAUGAUGACUUAGAUGAAGAGCAACGAUUGCGAGACAAUAAAAGAAAAGAUGCAAGGGCUUUAUUCUUUCUUCAACAAGCUAUCAUUGAUGAAAUUUUCUCUCGAAUUUCUACAGCAAUCACUUCAAAAGAUGCAUGGCAGAAUCUCAAAACAGAAUGUCAGGGCUCAUCAAAGCUCAUGAGGACAGGUUGAAUAGAUUAGAAGUAAAGAAAAUGAAAAAAGGGCAUUUCAAGUGAAAGGAGGAUCCUCUCAAACCACAAAAUCAGAUGACAAAGCACCAAGCAGAGGUGGAUUUUGUGGUGGAUAUCAUGGCUAAGGUCGUGAUGGAAAGGGACAAAGCAGACAAUCUAGCGAACAAGGUUAGUCCAAGAAUAAUGAGAGUUCAAUCAAGUGCAAUUACUAUGGGAAAUUAGGUCAUAAAGAAGCUGAUUGCUAGAUCAAGCAAAGAAAUGAAAGGACUCAUGCCAAGAGUUCAAUUGAUUGCUAUUACUGUGGGAAAUUGGGGCAUAAAGAAGCUGAUUGUUGGACCAAGUAAAGAAAGGAAGGGAAUCAAGCAAACUUUGCAGAUGAAGAGAGUAUGUUGUUUAUGGCUCAUUCUUAUGAUAAAAAUAUUAUAGAUGUUGUUUGGUUUUUGGAUAGCAGUUGCUCUAAUCAUAUGUCAGGUGCAAAAUAAUUUUUUAAAGAGCUUGAUGAGAUGCAUAAAUCAGAGGUGCGGCAGGGUGAUGAUAUGCAAAUACAAGUUGAAGAGAAAGGUACAAUUGCCAUCAAAACAGACUAUGGUAACACUAAGCUUCUUCAUGAUGUAUAAUUUGUUCUUGCUUUAGCUCAUAACUUGUUAAGUGUUGGGCAAUUGAUAGCUACUGGGUAUAUAAUUUUGUUUAAUAAUAAUUCAUGCACAAUUCCAGAAAAAAAUUCAGGCCACACCAUAUUUAAUGUUAAAAUGGCACAAAACAAAAUGUUCCCACUUGAAGUCUCUUAGUUUAAUAGUUCUGCCUUUGUUGUUAGGGAAACAGAGAGUCUAAAUUAUAGCAUUUGCAUUAUGGGCAUUUGAAUGAAAAUAUGAUUAAGGUUGUUGAGUUAAAAAGAAAUGGUGAUUGGACUACCUAAAAUUACUCUUUUGAAUUUUGUGAAGGGUGUGUUUUGGGAAAACAAAGUAGAAAAUCCUUUCCCAUAGGAAAAUCAAGGAGGGCUAAUAAUUGUCUUGAAUUGUUGCAUGCUGAUUUACGUUGGCCCAUGAAGUGGAAGUUUAUAUUUUUAGUUGCUUAUUGAUGAUUAUAGCUGCAUGAAUUGGGUUUAUUUUUUGAGAUCUAAAUCAGAAGCUCUUGCUAAUUUCAAGAAAUUUAAGGCACUUGUGGAGAAUCAAACAGGCAAUAGUAUCAAGUGUCUUCAAACUGACAGAGGUGAUGAGUUUAUUUCCAUUGAAUUUAAUGAUUUUUUUGUGAAGAAUGUGGCAUUCAUAGGGAGCUUAUUGCACCACAUACACCAAAGCAGAAUGGUGUCGUUGAAUGAAAGAACUGAACAGUAUUGGAAAUGGCUAGAAGCUUACUAAAGGCUAAAUGUCUUCCUAAUUCUUUUUGGGCUGAAGCAAUUGCAACAACAGUGUAUUUGUUGAAUAUCUCUCUUACAAAGGCAGUUUUGAAUAAGACUCCAUAUCAAGAUUAGAAAGGUACGAGACCUCAUAUUAGCCGCUUAAAAAUUUUUUGGUUAUGUAGCCUAUGCUUUAGUAAGCUCUCAAUAUUCUCACAAACUGGAUGAAGAAUCUGAAAAAUGUAUCUUUGUUGGCUAUAGUCCUCAAUCUAAAGCAUAUAGGCUGUAUAACCCUUUAAGUGGCAAGAUUAUUAUUAGCAAAAAUAUGGUGUUCGAUGAAGAUGCAAAAUGGGAUUAGGGAAGCUCUCAAAACAGUGAUCAAAUUCCAGCUUUAGAAGAUGUUUCUGAUCCAUUGCCUUCACAUUCAGAAAAUUCCUCUCCUUGGGGUAGUAGUUUUUCAAGUCCCAUCAGCUCUAGUACCUCCUCAUCCAAUGAAACUCCCAAGGAAAUUUAAGUCCUUGAGAGACAUUUAUUCAUCUUGUUCUUUUGCUUUGUAUGUUUCAAAUCUAAUAAUCUAUGAGGAAGCACCAAAAAUGAAAGAAUGGUGCACUACUAUGAAAGAAGAGAUGGCUGCAAUUCAGAAAAAUCAGACUUGGGAAUUGGUGGACUUGCCUGAAGGGAAGAAUGCAAUUGGGCUUAAGUGGGCGUUCAGAACAAAGUACCAUGCAGAUGGAAAUAUACAUAAACAUAAGGCUAGAUUUAUGCCAAAGGGGUAUGCUUAACAACAAGGCAUUGAGUUUGAAGAAACAUUCUCUCUUGUUGCUCGCUUUGAAAUAGUAAGAGUUUUGCUUGCCUUAGCUACUCAAUUAUUUUUGCCUGUUUUUAAAUUUGAUGUAAAAUUUGUCUUUUGAAUGGAGAUUUGGAAGAGGAAGUUUAUGUUUUUCAACUAGAAGGUUAUUCAACUAGAAGGUUAUGUUGUAAAUGGCCAUGAGGAUAAAGUUUUCAGGUUAAAAAAAGCUCUUUACGGACUUAAAUAGGCUCCACGAGCAUGGUAUAGCAAAAUUGACACCUACUUUCUUGAAAAUGGAUUUGAAAGAAGUGAAAAUGAACCCACUUUGUAUGUAAAGAAGCAAGGGAAAGCUGAUUUUCUAGUGUAUGUCUUUAUGUUGAUGAUAUUAUUUAUUUUGGGUCACGUGAGUUUCUUGUCGCUAAUUUUAAGUCUUCUAUGAUGAAGAGAUUUGAGAUGACAGAUUUAGGUUUGGUGCAAUAUUUUCUUGGGCUCGAGGUGAAACAGGGUGUAGAUGGAAUUUUUGUUUCCCAACACAAGUAUGCAAUUGAUAUGCUCAAGAGGUUCAACAUGCUGAAUUGCAACAAAGCAUCAACACCAAUGAAUUUGAAUGAGAAAUUGCAAUCUGAAGAUGGGAUAGAAAUGGCUAAUGCAACAUAUUUUCGGAAGUUGAUUGGUGGAUUAAAUUAUUUGACACUUACACGUCCUGACAUUGCAUUUCCUGUUAGUAUUAUGUCCAGGUUUAUGCAUAGCCCAACAAAACAACAUCUUAGAAUAGCUAAGAGGAUCUUGUGAUAUAUCUCCGGGACUUCUGAUUGUGGAAUUUGGUCCUCUAAAGUAUCAGUAUUUGGGUUUACUGAUAGUGAUUGGGCAGGUCAUUGGAUGAUAGAAGAAGUACCACAGGCUAUAGUUUCAGUCUUGGUUCAGGUGCAAUCUCAUGGAGUUCAAAGAAGCAAAAAUACCAUUGCACUUUCAACUUCAGAAGCAGAGUAUAUUACUGCAACUUCAUCAGCAUGUCAACCUAUGUGGUUGAGAAGAAUUUUAGUUGAUUUAAGCCAAGAGCAAUAUGCAGCAACAAAAAUCUUUUGUGAUAACAAAGCUACAAUUGCAAUGACAAAGAAUCCAGCCUUUCAUGGAGAACAAAGCAUAUUGAGGUCCAGCAUCAUUUCAUUCGAAAAUUGGCAGCAAGUGGAACAAUUUCCUUGGAGUUUUGCAGCACAAAUGAACAAGUUGGAGACCUGUUUACCAAGUCUUUGUCCCAGCUCAAGCUGCACAAUUUUUGAUAUAUCCAAUUUUGAAUAAGGGGGAGCGAUAGGAGUAAAGAGUGAUUCAAAAUUAGUUUGCAAUGUGUCAAAAAAAGGUAUUAUGUUUCAUUGUUUCUAACUUUCAGGAUUAUUCUGUUUUUUUGGUUUUGGUAGUGGUGAAUAAAUUAUCUGCAUAUUCAACAGAUUUUUAGUUCUUAUUUUUCAUUCAAGUUGUUGCUGUAAAGCCUAUAAAGACUCCACUUUCUCUAGCAAUAAUAUGAUCACUUUUACCGUCUCA